AUUAGAUACCCUGGUAGUCCACGCCGUAAACGAUGUCGACUUGGAGGUUGUUCCCUUGAGGAGUGGCUUCCGGAGCUAACGCGUUAAGUCGACCGCCUGGGGAGUACGGCCGCAAGGUUAAAACUCAAAUGAAUUGACGGGGGCCCGCACAAGCGGUGGAGCAUGUGGUUUAAUUCGAUGCAACGCGAAGAACCUUACCUACUCUUGACAUCCACGGAAUUCGGCAGAGAUGCCUUAGUGCCUUCGGGAACCGUGAGACAGGUGCUGCAUGGCUGUCGUCAGCUCGUGUUGUGAAAUGUUGGGUUAAGUCCCGCAACGAGCGCAACCCUUAUCCUUUGUUGCCAGCGAUUCGGUCGGGAACUCAAAGGAGACUGCCGGUGAUAAACCGGAGGAAGGUGGGGAUGACGUCAAGUCAUCAUGGCCCUUACGAGUAGGGCUACACACGUGCUACAAUGGCGCAUACAAAGAGAAGCGACCUCGCGAGAGCAAGCGGACCUCAUAAAGUGCGUCGUAGUCCGGAUCGGAGUCUGCAACUCGACUCCGUGAAGUCGGAAUCGCUAGUAAUCGUGGAUCAGAAUGCCACGGUGAAUACGUUCCCGGGCCUUGUACACACCGCCCGUCACACCAUGGGAGU
rnacentral:rRNA from 1 species